UAUUCUAGGCAGAUGGAGGUUUGCGCUGCCAAAGUGAUCUAGAAGCCGCGGAUGUGGGGCUCCGGCCGGUGGAGGCGGAGGUUGCUCAGGAUGCUGGGAGAAGGCGACUGGUGGGGCUGCCGCUGGAGGAGAUACUGAGUCUGGUGAGGGGGCUCGGUGGGUAGGUGCUGCAGCCGGAGGUGUAAAGCAAGGGACAGUGGCAACCAGUGAAUGACUGACCAGCUCGUGGCCUGUGCCGGCUUUUCACCCUCUUUACACCCAUUUGAGUGCUGUCCCGAUUUUCAGUGAAGAAAAUUGAGGCUCAAAAAGGGGAAAUGGCUUGUUCUAAAUCUCAGAGACGCCUGGCAGCUGGGAUUUGCGUUGGGCCUCUUGAUUCCAAAGCCAAAUCUGGAGCUCCUGUAUUGGAGUUUAGGGAGACCUGAUGGUCUAGAACAGGGCAGGGCAACUUUUCCUACACAGGAUCAGAUGGUAUUUUCUGCUGUGUGAACCAAGAGGCAAAAUCGAGGGUAUUAUGGAGGAAAUGUUAUACACGUGUUUGCAUUUGUGGCUUGCAUUAUAUCGUAUUUCUGUUGUGUAGUCCUGCUCGGGACUGAAGCUUGGGGGUGCUGGUAUUAGAAGGUAGGGCCUCUGGGAGACGAUUAGGUCACGAGGAUGGAACCCUCCUGAAUGAGAUUAGUGCCCUCAUAAGAGGGACCCAGAGAGCUCCCUCACUCCUUCCACCACGUAAGGACACAGCAAGAAGACAGCUGUCCAUGAACCAGGAAGCAGGCUCUUACUAGACACUAGGCCUGCCAAUGCCUUGAUUUUGGACUUUUCAGGCUCCAGAACUGUGAGAAAUAAAAUGUUUGUUUAUAAGCCA